rnacentral:rRNA from 1 species
UACGGAGGGAGCUAGCGUUGUUCGGAAUUACUGGGCGUAAAGCGCACGUAGGCGGCGAUUCAAGUCAGAGGUGAAAGCCCGGGGCUCAACCCCGGAACUGCCUUUAAAACUAGGUUGCUAGAAUCUUGGAGAGGCGAGUGGAAUUCCGAGUGUAGAGGUGAAAUGCGCAGAUAUCAGGAGGAACACCAAUGGCGAAGGCAGCUC